GUGAACGCNGGCGGCGUGCCUAAUGCAUGCAAGUUGAGCGAUCCACUUCGGUGGAGAGCAGCGAACGGCUGAGGAACGCGUAGGUGACCUGCCCUUUGGUGGGGGACAACUCCGGGAAACCGGGGCUGAUACCGCAUAAGUUCUUCUGGCUGCGGCCAGAAGAGGAAAGUCGCAAGACGCCGAAGGAGGGGCCUGCGUCCCAUCAGGUAGUUGGUGGGGUAAUAGCCCACCAAGCCGACGACGGGUAGCUGGUCUGAGAGGACGAUCAGCCAGAGGGGGACUGAGACACGGCCCCCACUCCUACGGGAGGCAGCAGCAGGGGAUCUUGGGCAAUGGGCGAAAGCCUGACCCAGCGACGCCGCGUGGGGGAUGAAGGCCUUCGGGUCGUAAACUCCUUUUCCAGGGGACGAUAAUGACGGUACCUUGGGAAGAAGCCCCGGCUAACUACGUGCCAGCAGCCGCGGUAAAACGUAGGGGGCGAGCGUUACCCGGAAUCAUUGGGCGUAAAGGGCAUGUAGGCGGUUCGGUCCGUCGUUGGUGAAAGGCCCCAGCUUAACUGGGGAGCCGCUAACGAUACCACCAGACUAGAGGGCAGCAGAGGUGAGUGGAAUUCCCGGCGUAGCGUUGAUAUGCGUAGAGUUCGGGAGGAACACCAGUGGCGAAGGCGACUCACUGGGCUGUCCCUGACGCUAAGGUGCGAAAGCGUGGGGAGCAAACAGGAUUAGAUACCCUGGUAGUCCACGCCCUAAACGAUGGAUACUAGGUAUGGGGGGUAUCGACCCCCUCCGUGCCGGAGCUUACGCGUUAAGUAUCCCGCCUGGGGAGUACGGCCGCAAGGCUAAAAC
rnacentral:rRNA from 1 species